rnacentral:rRNA from 1 species
UACGAGGGGGGCGAGCGUUGUUCGGAAUUAUUGGGCGUAAAGGGUGCGUAGGCGGUUUGGUAAGUCUUAUGUGAAAUCUACAGGCUCAACUUGUAGUCUGCAUGAGAAACUGCCGGGCUUGAGUAUGGGAGAGGUAAGUGGAAUUCCGAGUGUAGAGGUGAAAUUCGUAGAUAUUCGGAAGAACACCAGUGGCGAAGGCGACUUACUGGACACGUAUUGACGCUGAGGUGCGAAAGCGUGGGGAGCAAACAGG